GCAUUAGUGGUGUAACGGUAACAUUCAACCCUUCCAUGAUCCGAGCCGUGAGGUAAAGGUUGAGAGCAAGGUUGGGCCCUGGGUUCGACUCCCAGCUAAUGCA